rnacentral:rRNA from 1 species
AGAGUUUGAUCCUGGCUCAGGAUGAACGCUAGCUACAGGCUUAACACAUGCAAGUCGAGGGGCAGCAUGGACCCAGCUUUGCUGGGUUUGAUGGCGACCGGCGCACGGGUGAGUAACGCGUAUCCAACCUGCCCUUUACUCCGGGAUAGUCUCCUGAAAGGGAGUUUAAUACCGGAUGUGUUUGUCUUUCCGCAUGGGAGCGACAAAUAAAGAUUAAUUGGUAAAGGAUGGGGAUGCGUCCCAUUAGCUUGUUGGCGGGGUAACGGCCCACCAAGGCGACGAUGGGUAGGGGUUCUGAGAGGAAGGUCCCCCACAUUGGAACUGAGACACGGUCCAAACUCCUACGGGAGGCAGCAGUGAGGAAUAUUGGUCAAUGGGCGGGAGCCUGAACCAGCCAAGUAGCGUGAAGGACGACGGCCCUACGGGUUGUAAACUUCUUUUAUAAGGGAAUAAAGUUCGCCACGUGUGGUGUUUUGUAUGUACCUUAUGAAUAAGCAUCGGCUAAUUCCGUGCCAGCAGCCGCGGUAAUACGGAAGAUGCGAGCGUUAUCCGGAUUUAUUGGGUUUAAAGGGAGCGUAGGCGGGCUUUUAAGUCAGCGGUCAAAUGUCGUGGCUCAACCAUGUCAAGCCGUUGAAACUGUAAGCCUUGAGUCUGCACAGGGCACAUGGAAUUCGUGGUGUAGCGGUGAAAUGCUUAGAUAUCACGAAGAACUCCGAUCGCGAAGGCAUUGUGCCGGGGCAUAACUGACGCUGAGGCUCGAAAGUGCGGGUAUCAAACAGGAUUAGAUACCCUGGUAGUCCGCACGGUAAACGAUGAAUGCUCGCUAUGGGCGAUAUAUUGUCCGUGGCCAAGCGAAAGCGUUAAGCAUUCCACCUGGGGAGUACGCCGGCAACGGUGAAACUCAAAGGA